rnacentral:rRNA from 1 species
UACAGAGGUCCCAAGCGUUGUUCGGAUUCACUGGGCGUAAAGGGUGCGUAGGUGGUGAGGUAAGUCGGAUGUGAAAUCUCCGGGCUCAACCCGGAAAUGGCAUUGGAAACUACCUUGCUUGAGGAUUUGAGGGGGGAUUGGAAUACUUGGUGUAGCAGUGAAAUGCGUAGAUAUCAAGUGGAACACCAGUGGCGAAGGCGAAUCCCUGGAAAAUACCUGACACUGAGGCACGAAAGCUAGGGGAGCAAACGGG